GAUGAACGCUGGCGGCGUGCCUAAUACAUGCAAGUCGAGCGAACGGACGAGAAGCUUGCUUCUCUGAUGUUAGCGGCGGACGGGUGAGUAACACGUGGAUAACCUACCUAUAAGACUGGGAUAACUUCGGGAAACCGGAGCUAAUACCGGAUGAUAUUUUGAACCGCAUGGUUCAAAAGUGAAAGACGGUCUUGCUGUCACUUAUAGAUGGAUCCGCGCUGCAUUAGCUAGUUGGUAAGGUAACGGCUUACCAAGGCAACGAUGCAUAGCCGACCUGAGAGGGUGAUCAGCCACACUGGAACUGAGACACGGUCCAGACUCCUACGGGAGGCAGCAGUAGGGAAUCUUCCGCAAUGGGCGAAAGCCUGACGGAGCAACGCCGCGUGAGUGAUGAAGGUCUUCAGAUCGUAAAACUCUGUUAUUAGGGAAGAACAGAUGUGUAAGUAACUGUGCACAUCUUGACGGUACCUAAUCAGAAAGCCACGGCUAACUACGUG
rnacentral:rRNA from 1 species